UACGUAGGGGGCAAGCGUUGUCCGGAAUUAUUGGGCGUAAAGAGCUCGUAGGCGGUCUGUCGCGUCGGCUGUGAAAACCCGGAGCUCAACUCCGGGCCUGCAGUCGAUACGGGCAGACUGGAGUUCGGCAGGGGAGACUGGAAUUCCUGGUGUAGCGGUGAAAUGCGCAGAUAUCAGGAGGAACACCGGUGGCGAAGGCGGGUCUCUGGGCCGAUACUGACGCUGAGGAGCGGAAGCGUGGGGAGCGAACAGG
rnacentral:rRNA from 1 species